GCCACAGUAGCUCAGUGGUAGAGCAGCUGUUUCGUAAACAGCAGGUCGUCAGUUCGAUCCUGACCUGUGGCUCCA
rnacentral:tRNA from 1 species